rnacentral:rRNA from 1 species
GAUGAACGCUGGAGGCGUGCCUAAUACAUGCAAGUCGAGCGAACAGAUGAGGAGCUUGCUCCUCUGACGUUAGCGGCGGACGGGUGAGUAACACGUGGAUAACCUACCUAUAAGACUGGGAUAACUUCGGGAAACCGGAGCUAAUACCGGAUAAUAUAUUGAACCGCAUGGUUCAAUAGUGAAAGACGGUUUUGCUGUCACUUAUAGAUGGAUCCGCGCCGCAUUAGCUAGUUGGUAAGGUAACGGCUUACCAAGGCAACGAUGCGUAGCCGACCUGAGAGGGUGAUCGGCCACACUGGAACUGAGACACGGUCCAGACUCCUACGGGAGGCAGCAGUAGGGAAUCUUCCGAAAUGGGCGAAAGCCUGACGGAGCAACGCCGCGUGAGUGAUGAAGGUCUUCGGAUCGUAAAACUCUGUUAUUAGGGAAGAACAAAUGUGUAAGUACCUAUGCACGUCUUGACGGUACCUAAUCAGAAAGCCACGGCUAGCUACGUG